GAAAGGCGAAGAAAUGGAGAACAGGAUAAAGGCCUGGAAUCCCUGCUGCUCCAGAAGGAUUUUGUGACCCAUCCUAGUCCAGGGUCAUCUUUGACAUCAACAUGGCCUCCUAGACCUCUGCCCCCACUGCAAUGCCUUUAUCCUAAUGUGCUGCCACAUACUGGGAUCUGAAGAUAAUCUCAUAGCUGUGACUGGCCAGUGAGAAGAAGGAGGAGGAAGGACUUCAAUGACCCAAAAAAACUUCAGAGCAGAGAACAGAGCAGCAUUAGCCUGGCACUUUUCUUUGGUACCAAGUCCCCCUGUCAACCACUGCAGAUACACAGAGAACUUGCCAAGCUGUGAGUCCUCAUGCAUCAGCUGCUGGAUUUCUCCUCCACUGAUCAUGGGAAUUUCCAAUUCAGGAGUCUGGUGGUCAUGCUGUCCUAGACGGAGUGAGAGCAGGAGGACCUGAUUACGUUUUUCCGGAAGAGCACUCUCUCAACAAGUCACUUGGCCUGAAUCUGUCUCUGGGUCUGCUUCUAGAGAACCCAACCUAAGAUAAAAGGCAUUCGGGAUCCUCGCCAUGUUUCUGUUUAUCACAUCUAACAAUUUCUCAUCCUCACAAUGACUCUACAAAAAAACUAGAAUGCUGAGAGAUAAAGAACUGAAACGUUGGAAAGAAGUACAAAUAUUGAUUAUGGAUUUGGGGUUGGCAACUUAUUGAUCCCUAUCUUCACUGCUGAAAAUGGCUCUUCACCACACAUGCUUUCCAGGAGUUUUUGAAGCUGAGCUCAAGAGGUUUCUCUGCUAUGCUUCCAACGUCUUUGCAAAUGGCCAAGCACAUACCCCCUACAGUUAUUGCCCCCUAUUCAACUUGAGCAGCUUUAUCUGUUUUACACAGUAACCUUCUGUUUCAGAUUAUACUUAAAGGGUUUCACUGUAUGCACCUAAUUCAGGUUUUGAAAACCAUUUAGGUUUUAGGAGUCGCAGUUCUAUUCUAAGUAACAGUGCCAACCCUGUACCACGUUUAUUGUAACUCUGUCUAAGCCAGAGCACUGGUAGAAUUUUGAUCAUAAAAAAGAGAAGGUGUGCUUUCUCCCUUGCAGGA